ACCUGGCUGGUUCAGUCAGAGGAGCCUGUGACUCUUGAUCUCAAGGUUGUGGGUUCGAGCCCCACGCUGGGUG
rnacentral:tRNA from 1 species